rnacentral:lncRNA from 1 species
AACAAUGUGGAAGUAUUGUAGGAUGGAGUUGUUAUACAGUGAAAGACAUGUAGAGAUUUGGUUCAUAGGAAUAAAACAAAAAAUAAAAACAUUCUUCCGCUUCUCAAUCUUGUUGGGCAGGUAUUUCCGGGGAGCGGCUGGUUCCGCUGGGGGGUGGUCAUUUGGGGGAUCCUCUUCUUUGUCCCUCAUAGGUAUUUCGGGAGUCUCUGCUGAUGUUGCAUGAGUCAUCUUACCCAGUGAUUUUGUUGCUUGGGCUUUCUGGCAAUCUGUUUCUAAUUCCUUAUCAUACAUUACAUGCUCAUUGCUAGGACUGUGUUCAAUUUAGCAUUAGCUAUGUCUCUCUUAUGUUUUUGUAGUCUCUGA